rnacentral:rRNA from 1 species
GACGAACGCUGGCGGCGUGCCUAAUACAUGCAAGUUGAGCGAUGAAGCUUGGUGCUUGCACCAAUUUGAAGAGCAGCGAACGGGUGAGUAACGCGUGGGGAAUCUGCCUUUGAGCGGGGGACAACAUUUGGAAACGAAUGCUAAUACCGCAUAACAACUUUAAACAUAAGUUUUAAGUUUGAAAGAUGCAAUUGCAUCACUCAAAGAUGAUCCCGCGUUGUAUUAGCUAGUUGGUGAGGUAAAGGCUCACCAAGGCGAUGAUACAUAGCCGACCUGAGAGGGUGGUCGGCCCCCUUGGGACUGGGACCAGGCCCAAACCCCUACGGGCGGCCGCAGUAGGGGAUCUUCGGCAAUAGACGGAAGUCUGACCGCGCCACGCCGCGUGAGUUAAGAAGGUUUUCGGAUCGUAAAACUCUGUUGGUAGAGAAGAACGUUGGUGAGAGUGGAAAGCUCAUCAAGUGACGGUAACUACCCAGAAAGGGACGGCUAACUACGUG